UUUUCUUUGCAGGAAACCAACUGUAUUGCACUUUGAUGUUAGUUUUUUCUCCGCACAAACAUAGGGGAUAGGUCUAUUGAUUGUCUGUAAUGGUGGUAAAAAACCUCUUUUUCUCCUACACUGUUUGAAUGUCAGAUCUCGGGUGGUUCGAUUUGUAAUUGGUAUUUCUAUUGAUUGAUGUUUUUUGUGUUAUAUAAGUCAACAAAAGUUAGAGCAUAUAUGCUACUAUUAUGAGUCAAGAACAUGUUGCUUCUCUACGAUACUCAUUUCAAACUCUUUCAGGCUUGAAAGUGUUGUUUCUCCUCGUCGUGUCUGUAUGUUUUAAUUUGUAUAUUGCAACACCUUCUUGGUGCUGGUUAUGAAUGUAUCUUCUUUGAAAUACUAAAAUCUAUUCUCUUGCUAAUCAGAUGAGGUAAUUUAUGCCAUUAUUGUGUUUGCCGAAAUUCCCCACUGAAAAAAGACUUGUGUGUCGUGAAGAGAGCUUAGUACCAAGAGUUGGCCGCUUUAAAAAAUGUUGGAAGUCUAAUGAAAUUGAAGUAUGGGCUUCCCUCCGCUUAUUAUUAUCUUUUGCUUUUUAUCUAAAAUAUUUUGUUCCCGUGUGGAGAAGGGGUUACCAGUUAAAUGUUUUUAGAAUUAUUACCUUAAUAUUAUUGAUCUUUUGUCAUUUACUUGCAUGUGUAAUUCUACAGUAGCAUUACUACUAUUUAUCUAACUUUUUUGUUGAAGUGAAGCAAUGUUCUGUUUCAGAAAAAAAAUUGACAGUCAACACUCUCUGCAUUAAGAAACAUUCGGUGAAAACCAUUUUACUCUGUGGAGAUAAAAUUUUGACACUCAAGUCAAGAUUGAAUCAAAUAGCAAGGGAUCAUGAAAUUACUUCAUCUCUCGAACUCUUUAGUGUUUGUGAAUAGUAAGAAGAACGGAGUAAAUGUUACUAGCAAUGCUCUUGUGGAAGUUCCCAGCUGCACCCAGGAAGCUAUGAUUGUACACUAUAACUUGCAUUAGCUAUGCGUCCUAGGCUCGAUGUGUGAAAGUACCUUUCAUGGAAUCUUAAGACACUGAAAUGGCUGAAUUGAGAAUCUCCGAGUACUUUCAAUUGAAAGAGGUACUCUACGAUUUUGCAGUGUAUGAAGUUGAGAAGUCCUACAUAUUUUGAUACAUAUAACAAGUGAGAUUUUGAGGCCAAAUAUGUUUGAGUCAC